rnacentral:rRNA from 1 species
GAUGAACGCUGGCGGCGUGCCUAAUACAUGCAAGUCGAACGCAUAGCGAAAGGUGCUUGCACCUUUCAAGUGAGUGGCGAACGGGUGAGUAACACGUGGACAACCUGCCUCAAGGCUGGGGAUAACAUUUGGAAACAGAUGCUAAUACCGAAUAAAACUUAGUGUCGCAUGACACAAAGUUAAAAGGCGCUUCGGCGUCACCUAGAGAUGGAUCCGCGGUGCAUUAGUUAGUUGGUGGGGUAAAGGCCUACCAAGACAAUGAUGCAUAGCCGAGUUGAGAGACUGAUCGGCCACAUUUGGAAUGAGAAAAGGCCCAAACUCCUAAGGGAGGCUGCAGUAGGGAAUCUUCCCACAUGGGCGAAAGCCUGAUGGAGCAACGCCGCGUGUGUGAUGAAGGCUUUCGGGUCGUAAAACACUGUUGUAUGGGAAGAACAGGUAGGAAAGGAAAUGAUUUUAGUUUGACGGUACCAUACCAGAAAGGGACGGCUAAAUAAGUG